CGGCGCGCCGAGCGUUUCGAUGGGGGAGAGAGCGUUGCGACUUUGCGAGUUGAGCGCACCAGUCACUCGCCGGCGCUAGUCGCGCGCGUGUCGCGUUUUCCAUAAUAACGUCCGCGUGUGAGAGAGCUAAAAGUGCGCGAGUGUCCAGUUGAGAGUGUGCUACCACCUGUUGCUCCGACGAUUUUAUUGUCAAACAUAUCUCUUGGACACGCCGCGCGGAUUCGGUGAGGACGCUGGGCGUAUCGGCGACGAAAUGAAGCAUGCAGCAUGCGUGGUAGCAGUGUCACGGCUGCGCGGUCCUGCCUUCAACCCCUGGUUUCCGCCAGCCGAUAUCUCGCCGUACACGCCCUGCCCGGUGAUCCGCUCUAUUUCAUCGUUGACGCUAAAUCGAAGGUAAAAGAGGUCUACGUGCAGACAUGCCAACUUCUUGGUCAACAAGGCAUGCAAGAUUGCGAACUCUUUGGGCUAGCAAUUUUGUCAG